rnacentral:lncRNA from 1 species
CGACUAACUGUUAGCUAGCUUAGGUUCAGCGCGAUCUUGGGCUUUACCUUUCCUUUCGCACACGACUAAGUGUUAACCAGCUUAGGCUUAGCGCGAUCUUGAGCUUUGUCUUUCACUUUGCGCACGACUAAGUGUUAACCAGCUUAGGCUUAGCGUGAUCUGCUUCUCUUAUUCUUUCACUUCUACUUGAUCACGACUGGCUAUUCCCUCAGCUUAGUGUUUAACAGUCCUCGUGCGCUGCUUUGC